AGGACGAACGCUGGCGGCGGGCUUAACACAUGCAAGUCGAACGAAGCCUUCGGGCUUAGUGGCGCACGGGUGAGUAACACGUAGGCAACCUACCCUCAGCUGGGGAAUAACCAGGGGAAACCCUGGCUAAUACCGCAUAACGUCGUCGCGACCACCUGGUCGUACGACCAAAGUUCUGGCGGCUGAGGAUGGGCCUGCGUCGGAUUAGCUAGUUGGCGGGUAACGCCACAAGGCGACGAUCCGUAGCGGUCUGAGAGGAUGAUCCGCCACACUGGCACUGAGACACGGCAGACUCCUACGGGAGCAGCAGUGAGGAUAUGCGCAAUGGGCGAAAGCUGACGCACGCCACGGCCGCGUGCGAGGAAGACCACCCGUCGUCGGGACGUAACGUGUACUUUGU
rnacentral:rRNA from 1 species